AAACUAGAUAGGCUUAGAAAAAAGCUUCUAACUUUUUCCCUGAGGGGUUCGACUCCCUUCAUAGUUUU
rnacentral:tRNA from 1 species